rnacentral:rRNA from 1 species
AUGGAGAGAGUCGCGUCGCGCUGUGUCAGCCUCCUCGCACAAAGGAGGGGCUACUGUGCGGCCGCGGCCAUGGUGAAGGGAGCAGGGAGGAGCGCCGCUGCUGAGGAGAAGACCGCCGUCGCGGCGAAGAGCGCAAUGGCUGCGAGGAAAGACGUGGGCGCUGGCGUGGAGAAGGCGGCGUGGGUGCCGGACCCGGUGACCGGGUACUACCGGCCGUCGGGCGCCGCCAAGGAGGUGGACGCGGCUGACUUGCGCGCCAAGCUGUGCUGCUAA